rnacentral:lncRNA from 1 species
CCGGCGCACCCCAGGUCGGCCGUGGGUCCAGCGCUCGGAGCGGCCGAGUCCCCGCGUCCCGUGCGCUCCGCCCGCCGGGCAUGGAGUAGUGGCGCAGCUCGGGGCGCGGGGACAGACGUGCGCACAGACGGCGACGACUCCGGCGGCUCCAGCGAGCCCAGCUCUCGGCGCGUGUCGGAGUCUCCCAGCCCCGCGGCCCCGAGCGCACGAUGCGCGGACCCGGGCACCCCCUCCUCCUGGGGCUGCUGCUGGUGCUGGGGGCGGCGGGGCGCGGCCGGGGGGGCGCGGAGCCCCGGGAGCCGGCGGACGGACAGGCGCUGCUGCGGCUGGUGGUGGAACUCGUCCAGGAGCUGCGGAAGCACCACUCGGCGGAGCACAAGGGCCUGCAGCUCCUCGGGCGGGACUGCGCCCUGGGCCGCGCGGAGGCGGCGGGGCUGGGGCCUUCGCCGGAGCAGCGAGUGGAAAUUGUUCCUCGAGAUCUGAGGAUGAAGGACAAGUUUCUAAAACACCUUACAGGCCCUCUUUAUUUUAGUCCAAAGUGCAGCAAACACUUCCAUAGACUUUAUCACAACACCAGAGACUGCACCAUUCCUGCAUACUAUAAAAGAUGCGCCAGGCUUCUUACCCGGCUGGCUGUCAGUCCAGUGUGCAUGGAGGAUAAGUGAGCAGACCGUACAGGAGCAGCACACCAGGAGCCAUGAGAAGUGCCUUGGAAACCAACAGGGAAACAGAACUAUCUUUAUACACAUCCCCUCAUGGACAAGAGAUUUAUUUUUGCAGACAGACUCUUCCAUAAGUCCUUUGAGUUUUGUAUGUUGUUGACAGUUUGCAGAUAUAUAUUCGAUAAAUCAGUGUACUUGACAGUGUUAUCUGUCACUUAUUUAAAAAAAAAACACAAAAGGAAUGCUCCACAUUUGACGUGUAGUGCUAUAAAACACAGAAUAUUUCAUUGUCUUCAUUAGGUGAAAUCGCAAAAAAUAUUUCUUUAGAAACAUAAGCAGAAUCUUAAAGUAUAUUUUCAUAUAACAUAAUUUGAUAUUCUGUAUUACUUUCACUGUUAAAUUCUCAGAGUAUUAUUUGGAACGGCAUGAAAAAUUAAAAUUUCGGUCAUGUUUUAGAGACAGUGGAGUGUAAAUCUGUGGCUAAUUCUGUUGGUCGUUUGUAUUAUAAAUGUAAAAUAGUAUUCCAGCUAUUGUGCAAUAUGUAAAUAGUGUAAAUAAACACAAGUAAU